GCACCCGUAGCUCAGCUCAGAUACGAGUACCCGGCUACGAACCGAGCGGUCAGAGGUUCGAAUCCUCGUCGGGUGCACCA
rnacentral:tRNA from 1 species